UACAGAGGGUGCAAGCGUUGUUCGGAAUUAUUGGGCGUAAAGCGCGUGUAGGCGGCUUUGCAAGUCGGGUGUGAAAUCCCUCAGCUCAACUGAGGAAGUGCGCCCGAAACUGCAGAGCUUGAGUACGAAAGAGGAUCGCGGAAUUCCCCAAGUAGAGGUGAAAUUCGUAGAUAUGGGGAGGAACACCGGUGGCGAAGGCGGCCACCUGGACGGUAACUGACGCUGAGACGCGAAAGCGUGGGGAGCAAACAGG
rnacentral:rRNA from 1 species